rnacentral:rRNA from 1 species
UACGUAGGGGGCAAGCGUUGUCCGGAAUCAUUGGGCGUAAAGCGCGCGUAGGCGGCCCGGUAAGUCCGCUCUGAAAGUCCAGGGCUCAACCCUGGAAAGCGGGUGGAUACUGCCGGGCUAGAAUCCGGAAGAGGUGAGUGGAAUUCCUGGUGUAGCGGUGGAAUGCGCAGAUAUCAGGAGGAACACCAAUAGCGAAGGCAGCUCGCUGGGACGGUAUUGACGCUAAGGCGCGAAAGCGUGGGGAGCAAACAGG